rnacentral:rRNA from 1 species
AGCGAACGCUGGCGGCAGGCCUAACACAUGCAAGUCGAACGAACCUUUCGGGGUUAGUGGCGGACGGGUGAGUAACACGUGGGAACGUGCCUUUAGGUUCGGAAUAACUCAGGGAAACUUGUGCUAAUACCGAAUGUGCCCUUCGGGGGAAAGAUUCAUCGCCUUUAGAGCGGCCCGCGUCUGAUUAGCUAGUUGGUUGAGGUAAUGGCUCACCAAGGCGACGAUCAGUAGCUGGUCUGAGAGGAUGAUCAGCCACAUUGGGACUGAGACACGGCCCAAACUCCUACGGGAGGCAGCAGUGGGGAAUCUUGCGCAAUGGGCGAAAGCCUGACGCAGCCAUGCCGCGUGAAUGAUGAAGGUCUUAGGAUUGUAAAAUUCUUUCACCGGGGACGAUAAUGACGGUACCCGGAGAAGAAGCCCCGGCCAACUUCGUG